UAAAGCGAUUCAGCGGGUUACGAUUGACGGAGCGAAGCGACGUCAAAGCGUAUACAAAGUCGAGUCGGUUUAAGGAUACGUUCGUUGGGUAGGGGAGCGUUCUGUAAGCCCGUGAAGGUGGCCUGUGAGGGUUGCUGGAGGUAUCAGAAGUGCGAAUGCUGACAUAAGUAACGAUAAAGCGGGUGAAAAGCCCGCUCGCCGGAAGACCAAGGGUUCCUGUCCAACGUUAAUCGGGGCAGGGUGAGUCGACCCCUAAGGCGAGGCCGAAAGGCGUAGUCGAUGGGAAACGGGUUAAUAUUCCCGUACUUGGUGUUACUGCGAAGGGGGGACGGAGAAGGCUAUGUUGGCCGGGCGACGGUUGUCCCGGUUUAAGCGUGUAGGUGUGUGUUCCAGGUAAAUCCGGUUCACUUUAACACUGAGGCGUGACGACGAGGCACUACGGUGCUGAAGCAACAAAUGCCCUGCUUCCAGGAAAAGCCUCUAAGCAUCAGGUAACAUCAAAUCGUACCCCAAACCGACACAGGUGGUCA
rnacentral:rRNA from 1 species